rnacentral:rRNA from 1 species
CCUACGGGAGGCAGCAGUGAGGAAUAUUGGUCAAUGGACGAGAGUCUGAACCAGCCAUGCCGCGUGAAGGAUGACUGCCCUAUGGGUUGUAAACUUCUUUUAUACGGGAAUAAAACGUUCCACGUGUGGGGUGUUGUAUGUACCAUACGAAUAAGGAUCGGCUAACUCCGUGCCAGCAGCCGCGGUAAUACGGAGGAUCCGAGCGUUAUCCGGAUUUAUUGGGUUUAAAGGGAGCGUAGGUGGUUUGAUAAGUCAGUUGUGAAAGUUUGGGGCUCAACCCUGAAACUGCAGUUGAGACUGGCAGUCUUGAGUACAGUAGCGGUAGGCGGAAUUCAUGGUGUAGCGGUGAAAUGCUUAGAGAUCACGAAGAACACCGAUUGCGAAGGCAGUUCACUGAACUACAACUGACGCUGAGGCUCGAAAGUGUGGGUAGCAAACAGGAUUAGAUACCCUGGUAGUC